rnacentral:rRNA from 1 species
AUUACAGGUACAUCCUGCCCGGUGAACUAUUUAAACGGCUGCGGUAUCCUGACCGUGCAAAGGUAGCAUAAUCACUUGCCCCCUAAUUAGGGGCUAGCAUGAAUGGACAAACGAGAUUAUUUCUGUCUCUUCUAAAUUCCUAUAAACUAAUCUAUAGGUGAAGAAGCCUAUAUCUAUAUAAAAGACAAGAAGACCCUGUCGAGCUUUAAUUAUCUAUAAAACAAUGUAACUCAUACCCUCUCUUAUAAAUAAUUUUUGUUGGGGCGACACCGGAAAAAACAAAUCUUCCGUAAUCCCUAAGACUUCAAGUCCCUCCAAAGAUCCCAUAAAGGAUAACUGGUACCAGCUACCGCAGGGAUAACAGACUAAUCCUCCUUAAGAGCCCAAAUCUACAGGAGGGCUUGGCACCUCGAUGUUGGCUUAGGAUAACACUUAAAUGCAGAAGUUUAAGAUGUAGGUUUGUUCAACCUUUAAUCUCCU